rnacentral:lncRNA from 1 species
CUUUGUUUACCUAAGCAAGCCUGGGCAAUGGUGGGCGCCCCUCCCCCAGCCUCGCUGCCGCCUUGCAGUUUGAUCUCAGACUGCUGUGCUAGCAAUCAGCGAGAUUCCGUGGGCGUAGGACCCUCUGAGCCAGGUGCGGGAUAUAAUCUCGCGGUGCGCCGUUUUUUAAGCCCGUCGGAAAAGCGCAGUAUUCGGGUGGGAGCGAGCCGAUUUUCCAGGUGCCGUCCGUCACCCCUUUCUUUGACUAGGAAAGGGAACUCCCUGACCCCUUGCGCUUCCGGAGUGAGGCAAUGCCUCGCCCUGCUUCGGCUCGCGCACGGUGCACGCACCCACUGACCUGCGCCCACUGUGUGGCACUCCCUAGUGAGAUGAACCCGGUACCUCAGAUGGAAAUGCAGAAAUCACCCGUCUUCUGCGUGGCUCACGCUGGGAGCUGUAGACCGGAGCUGUUCCUAUUCGGCCAUCUUGGCUCCUGGAUCUCUGUGUCAACCUUCUUUUAUUUUUAAAAGAUAUUCACUGUCUCUUACUAAAGCUUCCUGUUCAAAGUCUGGCUGAGAAUUUUUGCUGCUUCUUUCCCUACCUCCUCAUUUCCGAAGGUUCUUCAUUAAUUUAGACAACUUAAGGGUAUCCUGAGGAGAUGAGAUCAGGACCUUCAGAUUACGAGACUCACGCCCUGCUGGCUGCGCUAAGAGGGCUCCUGAGGAGAUGAGAUCAAACAUAGGAAGAAAAAUGGAGUCUCCAAGAUGUCCACAUUUGAAUCUCUGGAACCUGUGAAUAUGUUACUUUAUAUGGCAAAAGGAACUUUGCAGGUGUGAGAAAAGUUGAGGACCUUGAGAUGGGGAGAUCAUCCUGGAUUAUUUGAAUAAGCCCAAAUUCAUCAAAUGAAUUCUUAAAAGAACCUUUCCUCUGAGAUGAGAGUCUGAGGGAGAUGUGGCUAUGGAAGAAUGGUCAGAGAGCAAUGCAAAGCUGCUGGCUGUGAAGAUGGAAGAAGGGGCCAUAAGCCAAGAAAUAUGGUUGGUUUCUAGGAGCUGGAAGAGGCAAGAAGACAUAUUCUCCUCUAGACCCUCCAGAAGAAAUGCAGCCUCACUGACACCUUAAUUUUAGCCCUGAAAGACCCAUUUCAGAACUCUGACCUACAGAACUGUAAGAUUAUGCUGUUUCAAAAUUGAUUAGUUCUCUGACUCGCACACUGAAAUCAUCCAACCUAUUGAAAAAGCAGAAUGGGAUGUGGAUUAUAGGGUUUCAGAUAACACCA